rnacentral:rRNA from 1 species
AUUGAACGCUGGCGGCAGGCCUAACACAUGCAAGUCGAGCGGAUGAAGGGAGCUUGCUCCUGGAUUCAGCGGCGGACGGGUGAGUAAUGCCUAGGAAUCUGCCUGGUAGUGGGGGAUAACGUCCGGAAACGGGCGCUAAUACCGCAUACGUCCAGAGGGAGAAAGGGGGGGAUCUUCGGACCUCACGCUAUCAGAUGAGCCUAGGUCGCAUUAGCUAGUUGGUGGGGUAAAGGCCUACCAAGGCGACGAUCCGUAACUGGUCUGAGAGGAUGAUCAGUCACACUGGAACUGAGACACGGUCCAGACUCCUACGGGAGGCAGCAGUGGGGAAUAUUGGACAAUGGGCGAAAGCCUGAUCCAGCCAUGCCGCGUGUGUGAAGAAGGUCUUCGGAUUGUAAAGCACUUUAAGUUGGGAGGAAGGGCAGUAAGUUAAUCCCUUGCUGUUUUGACGUUACCAACAGAAUAAGCACCGGCUAACUUCGUG